rnacentral:rRNA from 1 species
AUUGAACGCUGGCGGCAGGCCUAACACAUGCAAGUCGAGCGGAUGAAGGGAGCUUGCUCCUGGAUUCAGCGGCGGACGGGUGAGUAAUGCCUAGGAAUCUGCCUGGUAGUGGGGGAUAACGUCCGGAAACGGGCGCUAAUACCGCAUACGUCCUGAGGGAGAAAGUGGGGGAUCUUCGGACCUCACGCUAUCAGAUGAGCCUAGGUCGGAUUAGCUAGUUGGUGGGGUAAAGGCCUACCAAGGCGACGAUCCGUAACUGGUCUGGGAGGAUGAUCAGUCACACUGGAACUGAGACACGGUCCAGACUCCUGCGGGAGGCAGCAGUGGGGAAUAUUGGACAAUGGGCGAAAGCCUGAUCCAGCCAUGCCGCGUGUGUGAAGAAGGUCUUCGGAUUGUAAAGCACUUUAAGUUGGGAGGAAGGGCAGUAAGUUAAUACCUUGCUGUUUUGACGUUACCAACAGAAUAAGCACCGGCUAACUUCGUG